rnacentral:rRNA from 1 species
UACAGAGGUGGCAAGCGUUGUUCGGAAUUACUGGGCGUAAAGGGCGCGUAGGCGGCCUACUAAGUCAGACGUGAAAUCCCCCGGCUUAACCUGGGAACUGCGUCUGAUACUGGAAGGCUUGAGUAUGGGAGAGGGAUGUAGAAUUCCAGGUGUAGCGGUGAAAUGCGUAGAUAUCUGGAGGAAUACCGGUGGCGAAGGCGGCAUCCUCGACCAUUACUGACGCUGAGGCGCGAAAGCUAGGGGAGCAAACGGG